rnacentral:rRNA from 1 species
GUGGGGAAUCUUAGACAAUGGGCGCAAGCCUGAUCUAGCCAUGCCGCGUGAGUGAUGAAGGCCCUAGGGUUGUAAAGCUCUUUCAGCUGGGAAGAUAAUGACGGUACCAGCAGAAGAAGCCCCGGCUAACUCCGUGCCAGCAGCCGCGGUAAUACGGAGGGGGCUAGCGUUGUUCGGAAUUACUGGGCGUAAAGCGCGCGUAGGCGGACUGAAAAGUUGGGGGUGAAAUCCCGGGGCUCAACCUCGGAACUGCCUUCAAAACUAUCAGUCUGGAGUUCGAGGGAGGUGAGUGGAAUUCCGAGUGUAGAGGUGAAAUUCGUAGAUAUUCGGAGGAACACCAGUGGCGAAGGCGGCUCACUGGCUCGAUACUGACGCUGAGGUGCGAAAGCGUGGGGAGCAAACAGGAUUAGAUACCCCUGUAGUCC